GAACGCUAGCUACAGGCUUAACACAUGCAAGUCGCGGGGUAACAUCUGGUAGAGCUUGCUCUUCCAGGAUGACGACCGGCGCACGGGUGAGUAACGCGUAUCCAACCUGGCCCAUACCACGGGAUAGCCCGUCGAAAGGCGGAUUAAUACCGUAUGCUGUCAUUAAGAUGCAUAUAUUGAUGACGAAAGGACUGGCGGUAUGGGAUGGGGAUGCGUCUGAUUAGCUUGUUGGCGGGGUAACGGCCCACCAAGGCGACGAUCAGUAGGGGUUCUGAGAGGAAGGUCCCCCACAUUGGAACUGAGACACGGUCCAAACUCCUACGGGAGGCAGCAGUGAGGAAUAUUGGUCAAUGGGCGAGAGCCUGAACCAGCCAAGUAGCGUGCAGGACGACGGCCCUAUGGGUUGUAAACUGCUUUUAUAAGGGAAUAAAGUGAGUCUCGUGAGACUUUUUGCAUAUACCUUAUGAAUAAGGACCGGCUAAUUCCGUG
rnacentral:rRNA from 1 species